CAGGCUGAGGGCUGUGUGGAGGGGACGAAACACCGUCGACACUACCAUGGGUCUCUCACACUUCUCUUGCCCUGGAGUGUCAGUCCUCCUAUCUUCCCGGAUAAAAAGCUCAACGUCGCCCCCUAGCAUCUGAGAGUCUGAACUCAGGUCCAUAUCAGUAUCAGUGUCUUGAUCAGGGUUACUCCUCCAGCCGCCAUUUUCUGCUUCAGUCCUUGUGUGUUUGCGAUGAUUCAGAGGCAAAGGGGUGAAGUGCUGAGCGUCUGCAAUAGGUGAUCCAUGGCCGUUGUCGCUGGGGGUCACAGGCGGCUGCAGCUCCUGCUGACACACGGCGAUGUGGUUGUGCUGGCACUGCCGCAGGAGAGGCCUGUCGUCCCGGGCCUCGCUCAAAGCCUGGGACUCGCCUGAGACCGGGAACCACAUGCUGGGACACUCUCCUCGGCAACGGAAGGCAUGGAGCUGAGCCCUAGGACCAUACGUCAGGACUACCGGGCAUGAUGACUCCUUGCUGUCCCCAGUCCACCUGGCCUUGCUGCUGUUCCAGUUUCAACUGUUCUGAAUGCGGUUAUGGAACCCCUACCUAUCCCAGACCUGCUGCUUUCAACUCUUAAUGAUCGGCUAUGAAAAGCCAACUGACAUUUAUUCCUGAUUAUUAUUUGACCAUGCUUGUCACUUAUGAACAUUUUGAACAUCUGGGCCAUGUUCUGUUAUAAUCUCCACCCAGCACAGCCAGAAGAGGACUGGCCACCCCUCAUAGCCUGGUUUCUCUCUAGGUUUCUUCCUAGGUUUUGGCCUUUCUAGGGAGUUUUUCCUAGCCACCGUGCUUCUACACCUGCAUUGCUUGCUGUUUGGGGUUUUAGGCUGGGUUUCUGUACAGCACUUCGAGAUAUUAGCUGAUGUACGAAGGGCUAUAUAAAAUAAACUUGAUUUGAUUUGACAAUUUCUUUCCAUCUACGUAACAUUGCAAAAAAUCUGAAACUUUCUGUCCAAAAAUUAUGCAUAAAAAUGAAUCCAUGCUUUUGUUACUUCUAGGUUAGACUACUGCAAUGCUCUACUUUCCGGCUACCCGGAUGAAGCACUAAAUAAAACUUCAGUUAGUGCUAAAUACGGCUGCUAGAAUAAUGACUAGAAGCAAAAAAUUUGAUCACAUUACUCCAAUGCUAGCCUCCCUACACUGGCUUCCUGUUAAGACAAGGGAUGAUUUCAAGCUUUUACUGCUAACCUACAAAGCAUUACAUGGGCUUGCUCCUACCUAUCUUUCCAAUUUGGUCCUGCCGUACAUACCUACACGUACGCUACGUUCACAAGACACAGGCCUCCUAAUUGUCCCUAGAAUUUCUAAGCAAACAGCUGGAGGCAGGGCUUUCUCCCAUAGAGCUCCAUUUUUAUGGAAUGGUCUGCCUACCCAUGUGAGAGACGCAGACUCGGUCUCAACCUUUAAGUGUUUACUGAAGACUCAUCUCUUCAGUAGGUCAUAUGAUUGAGUGUAGUCUGGCCCAGGAGUGUGAAGGUGAACGGUAAGGCUCUGGAGCAACAAACCUCCCUUGCCGUCUCUGCUUGGCCGGUUCCCCUCUCUCCACUGGGAUUCUCUGCCUCUAACCCAUUACAGGGGCUGAGUCACUGGCUUACUGGUGCUCUUUCAUGCCGCCCCUAGGAGGGGUGCGUCACUUGAGUGGGUUGAGUCACUGACGUGGUCUUCCUGUCUAGGUUGGCGCCCCCCCUUGGGUUGUGCCGUGGCGGAGAUCUUUGUGGGCUAUACUCGGCCUUUUCUCAGGAUGGUAAAUUGGUGGUUGAAGAUAUCCUUCUAGUGGUGUGGGGGCUGUGCUUUGGCAAAGUGGGUGGGGUUAUGUCCUGCUUGUUUGGCCCUGUCCGGGGGUAUCAUCGGAUGGGGCCACAGUGUCUCCUGACCCAUCCUGUCUCAGCCUCCAGUAUUUAUGCUGCAGUAGUUUAUGUGUCGGGGGGCUAGGGUCAGUCUGUUAUAUCUGGAGUAUUUCUCCUGUCUUAUCCGGUGUCCUGUGUGAAUUUAAGUAUGCUCUCUCUAAUUCUCUCUCUUUCUUUCUCUCUCUCGGAGGACCUGAGCCCUAGGACCAUGCCUCAGGACUACCUGGCAUGAUGACUCCUUGCUGUACCCAGUCCACCUGGCCGUGCUGCUGCUCCAGUUUCAACUGUUCUGCCUGCUGAUAUGGAACCCUGACCUGUUCACCGGACGUGCUACCUGUCCCAGACCUGCUGUCUUCAACUCUCUAGAGACAGCAGGAGCAGUAGAGAAACACUCUCAAUGAUCGGCUAUGAAAAGCCAACUGACAUUUACUCCUGAGGUGCUGACUUUUUGCACCCUCGACAACUACUGUGUGUCACGUUCCUGACCUGUUUUCUGUUGUUCUGUAUGUGUGUGAUGGUCAGGGCGUGAGUUUUGGGUGGGCAGUCUAUGUUUUCUGUUUCUAUGUUGGUUUUGGGUUGCCUGGUAUGGCUCUUAAUUAGAGGCAGGUGUUUUGCGUUUUCCUCUAAUUGAGAGUCAUAUUAAGGUAGGUUGUUCUCACUGUUUGUUUGUGGGUGAUUGUCGCUGUGUCUGUGUUUGUUGCACCACACGGUACUGUCUCGUCUCGUUCUUUCGGUCGUUCCUGUUCAUGUGUUCUUCGUUUCAUGUAAGUUCGUAGUUUAGGUCUGUCUUCAUCGUUUAUUAUGUUGUAGGUUAUCAAGUUUAGUUUGUUAUAGUGUUUUCGUGUUUUUCCCGUCUUGUUUAAUAAAGUCAUUAUGUAUUCACAA